CAGUUGUUAAUUAUUUAAGACACGAUCAGGAUAUUUGGACAUUAUUUGCUAAAGGUGUCCCGUUUUCCCCGCUCCACUAUAUAUUGCAGGAUUGUUUGUUGCACAUUGCGGUAUCAUGUAACGUACAAUGCGCUCUUCAGGAACUGCGUCGUUUCCCUCUUGUAAGAGCAGAUUGUCUGAGCGUCUUUACACUGCCUACUCAAUACACGGCCUAGGAAUAUACACCUAAACUGCCCAAAAAAUAAUGGCCAAUAUAAUACAUUGUUUCAUGAAUAAAAUUUUGAAAUUUAAAAUAAAGUUUACAAUGAGAGCAGUUGCGGGUCUCUUGCGUUAAAAAAGUACGCUUAAAGGUUUUGGUUUAAAAAUUGUAUUGCAACAGUGUGAUAUAUUUAACUCCAAAAUGUCUGCUGUUAUUUUUAAAUUUACAAAGUUGGCCUGCAUUUAUGCUGCGCAACCAAUCGCAUUUUAUAGUACAGUAGGGUACUUUUAGCAAACGUAUGGAAAAAAUCUCCUAACUUGUUUUCAUCGUUUGCAAGAAACUGGUUUGCAAUUUGGCUUCCAUGACUUUGCUAUGAUAGAGCCCGCUGUACCUAACAUUAUAAGAACACCACCAAUAUACGAAGUGGCGUAUGGUACAGUAUUGAGAAGCAUGAUAUCAUAGAAGAAACCUGUCAGAACUUGGCCGGUAAGUAUAACAGACACGAUACUCGGAAGUUCAAAACGUAAAGACGAAUACAUUAACAUUCGACAUGUGUAAUUAGCGCCGGCUGCGAGCAUUGCAAAAACAAAAUCGUAAAAACAAGGCAACGAAAAUUUGCCGGCAGUUAAUUGAAUAUAAAUGCAGCAUAUAGCCGCGCCUUGUAACGCUGCGCAAGUCAAUACACUACUAACGGAAACGCUUUUUAUCUUUCGACACAGAACCAAACUAAUAGAA